rnacentral:rRNA from 1 species
UACGGAGGGUGCAAGCGUUAUCCGGAUUCACUGGGUUUAAAGGGUGCGUAGGCGGAUUAGAAAGUCCGUUGUGAAAUCUCUGAGCUUAACUCGGAAAUUGCGGUGGAGACUAUUAAUCUUGAAUACUGUGGAGGUUAGCGGAAUAUGUCAUGUAGCGGUGAAAUGCAAAGAUAUGACAUAGAACACCAAUUGCGAAGGCAGCUGGCUACUCAGAUAUUAACGCUGAGGCACGAAAGCGUGGGGAUCAAACAGG